UACGUAGGGUGCGAGCGUUAAUCGGAAUUACUGGGCGUAAAGCGUGCGUAGGCGGUUCGUUAAGUUCGUUGUGAAAGCCCCGGGCUCAACCUGGGAAUGGCAAUGGAAACUGGCGGGCUGGAGUGUGGCAGAGGGGGGUGGAAUUCCGCGUGUAGCAGUGAAAUGCGUAGAGAUGCGGAGGAACACCGAUGGCGAAGGCAGCCCCCUGGGCUAACACUGACGCUCAGGCACGAAAGCGUGGGGAGCAAACAGG
rnacentral:rRNA from 1 species